UACGUAGGGGGCUAGCGUUGUCCGGAUUUAUUGGGCGUAAAGAGCGUGUAGGCGGCCAAGUAGGUCCGGUGUGAAAACUCGAGGCUUAACCUCGAGAUGUCAUCGGAAACCACUUGGCUAGAGUCCGGAAGAGGAAAGUGGAAUUCCUGGUGUAGCGGUGAAAUGCGCAGAUAUCAGGAAGAACACCAAUGGCGAAAGCGGCUCACUGGACCAUAACUGACGCUGAUGCACGAAAGCUAGGGGAGCAAACAGG
rnacentral:rRNA from 1 species